CUUUUUCAACUUUUAUUUUUGUUUCAGGGGAUACAUGUGCAGGUUUGUUACAUCAGUAAGUUGUGUGUCCCAGGGGUUUGGUGUACAAACUAUUUCAUCACCCAGGUAGUGAUCACAGUACCCAAUAGAUAGUUUUUCGACCCUCACCCUUCUCCUAGCCUCUACACCAAGUAUGUCCUAGUGUCUAUUGUUCCCCUCUUGGUGACCAUGUGUAUUCAGUGUUUAGCUCCCACUUACAAGUGAAAACAUGUGGUAUUUGGUUUUCCGUUCAUGUUAGUUUGCUAAGAAUAAUGGCCUCCAGCUCCAUCCAUGUCCCUGCAAAGGACAUGAUCUCGCUCUUUUCAUGGCUGCACAGUAUUCCAUGGUGCAUACAUACCAUAUUUUCUUUACCCAGUCUAUUAUUGAUGGGCAUUUAGGUUGAUCCCAGGUCUUUGCUAUUUUGAAUAGUGCUGCAAUGAACAUACAAGUGCAUUUGUCUUUUCAUUAGGUUUCUGCCAUUACUUUUAAUGGCAGAAACCACAAUUACUUUUGCACCAACUUAAUAGAACAAUUUAUAUUCCUUUAGGUAUAUACCCAGUAAUGGGAUUGCUAGGUCAAAUGGUAGUUCUAGUUUACAUUCUUUGAGAAAUCCCUGAACUGCUUUCCACAGUGAGACUGAACUAAUUUACAUUCCCAACAGGAGUGCACAAGCAUUCCCUUUUCACCACAACCUUGCCAACAUCUAUUAAUUUUGACUUUUUAAUAAUAGCCAUUCUGAGUGGUGUCAGAAGGAAUCUCAUUGUGUUUUUGAUUUGCAUUUGUCUAAUGAUUACUGAUGUUGAGCAUUUUUUCAUAUGCUUGUUGGUUAAUUGCACAUCUUUUAGAAAUGUCUGUUCAUGUCCUUUGCCCAUUUUUAAAUGGGGAUGCUUUUUGCUUGCUGAUUUGUUUGAGUUCCAUAUAGAUUCUCAAUAUCAGACUUCUGUCAGAUGCAUAGUUUGCAAAUAUUUUCUCUCUUUCUAUAGGCUGUCUGUUUACUCUGUUGAUAGUUUGUUUUGCUGUGCUGCAGAAGCUCUUUAAUUAGGUCUCACUUGUCAAUUUUUGUUUUUGUUGCAAUUGCUUUCGGAGACCUCAUAUGAAAUUUUUGCCAAGGCCUAGAAUAGUAUUUCUAGAAUAUAAUUUCCUAGGUUUUCUUCUAAGAUUUUUAUAGAUUUAGGUCUUACGUUUAAGUCUUUUAAUCCAUCUUGAGUUGACAAAUGUUGACUAUCAAUGGUUGUAGGUGUGCAGCAUGAUUACUAGGUUUCUCUAGCUUCUUUCAUUGGUUUAUGUGUCUGUUUUUGUCCCAGUACCAUGAAGUUUUAGUUACUGCAGUCUUGCAGUUUAAUUUGAAGUCAGGUACUGUGAUGACUCUGGCUUUGUCCUUUCUGCUUAGCAUUGUUUUGCCUAUUUGGGCUCUUUGUGGUUCCAUAUGAAUUUUACAAUAUUUUUUUUUUCUAAUUCUGUGAAAGAUAAUAUUGGUAGUUUGACAGGAAUAUCACUGAAUCUAUAAAUUGCUUCGGCCAGUAUGACUGCCCCAAAUUUUAACAAUAUUGAUUUUUUUCCUAUCUAUGAACAUGAAAUGAUUUUCCAUAUAUUUGUUUCAUCUCUGAUUUAUUUCAGCUGUGUUUUAUAAUUCUCAUUAUAGAGAUCUUUCACCUCCCUGGUUAGCUGUAUUCCUAGGUAUCUUAUUCUUUCUGUGGCUACUGUGAAUGGGAUUGUGUUCCUGAUUUGGGUCUCAGUUUGGACAUUAUUGGUAUAUAGAAAGGCAACUGAUUUUUGUGCACUGAUUUUCUGUCUAGAACUUUGCUGAAGUUGUUUAUCAGAUCAAGGAGCUUUUAGGCAGAGUCUAUGGGGUUUUCUAGGUAUACAAUGACAUCAUCUGCAAACAGAAAUAGUUUGACUUUCUCUCUUUCUAUUUGGAGCUCUAGAAUUUCCAGUACUAUGUUGAAUAGGAGUGGUGGAAGUGGGCAUCCUUGUCUUGUUCCAGUUCUCAAGGGGAGUGCUUCCAGCUUUUCCUGUUCAGUAUGAUGCAGGCUGAGGGUUUGACAUAGAUGGUUCUUAUUAUUUUGAAGUAUGUUCCUUCAAUUUCAAGUUGUUGAGGGUUUUUAACAUGAAGCGAUGUUGAAUUUUACCAAAACCCUUUUUUGCAUCUGUUGAGAUGACCAUGUGGUUUUUUGUCUUUAGUUCUUUUAUGUGAUGAAUCACAUUCAUUGAUUUGUGUAUGGUGAACCAAUUUUGCAACCUAUGGCUAAAGCCUAUUUGAUUGGGUUGAAUUAGCUCUUUGAUGUGCUGCUGGAUUCAAUUUGCUAGUAUUUUGUUGAAGAUUUUUGUGUCUAUGUUCAUCAAGGAUAUUGGCCUGAAGUUUUCACUUUUGGUUGUUCUAUCUCUGUCAGGUUUUGGUAUCAGAAUGAUGCUGGCGUUAUAGAAUGAUUGAGGGAGGAGUCCCUCCUCCUCGAUUUUUGGAAGCUAUUUAGUACGAUUGGUACCAGCAAGUCUUAUUACAUCUGGUAGAAUUCAGCUGGGAAUCCAUCUGGUCUAUCCAGAACUUUUACUGGUUGGUAGGUUUUUUAUAACUGAUUCAAUUUUGGAACUCAUUAUUGGUCUAUUCAGGAUUUUAAUGUCUUCCUGCUUCAAUCUUGUGAGGUUUUAUGUUUCCAGGAAUUUAUUCAUUUCUUCUAGGUUUUCUAAUGUAUGUCUGCAGUGCUGUUCAUAAGAGUCGCUGAGGGUUUUUUGUAUUGCUGUGGGGUUGGUGGUAAUGUACCCUUUGUCAUUUCAGAGUGUGUUUAUUUGGUUCUCUUUGUUUGUUCUUUAUUAAUCUAGCUAGUAGUCUGACAAUCUUAUUUAUUCUUGCAAAAAAAAACAGCUUUUGGUUUUAGUGAUCUUUUGUAUGGUUUUCAUAUCAGAAUUUUGUUCAGUUCAGCUCUGAUUUUAACUAUUUAUUUUCUUCUAUCAACUUUGGAAUUAGUUUGGUCUUGUUUUUCUAGUUCCUCUAGGUGUGAUGUUAGGUUGUUGAGAUUUUUCUAACUUACAGAUGUAGGUGUUUGUCUCUACAAACAUUUUUCUUAAUACUGCUUUAGCUGUGUUCUCUGGUAUGUUGUAUCUGUUUUCAUUAGUUUCAAAGGAUUUUUUUUAUUUCUGCCUUAAUUUCAUUCUUUACUCAAAAGUCAUUCAGGAACAAGUUGUUUAAUUUCCAUGUAAUUGCAUGGUUUUGAGAGAUCUUAGUAUUGAUUUAUAUUUUUAUUGCACUGUGGUCUGAGAAUGUGGUUGGUAUGAUGUCAGUUAUUUUGAAUUCUUUGAGAAUUGCUUUAUGAAUGGGUGUGUAGUCAAUCUUAGAGUAUGUGUCAUGUGCAGAUGAGAAGAAUGUUUAUUCUGUUGUUGUUGGGUGAAAUAUUCUGUAGAUGUCUCAUAGGUCCAUUUGGUCAAGUGUUGGGUCCCAAAUAUCUUUGUUGGUUUUCUGCUUUAGUGAUCUCUCUAGAAAUGUCAGUGGAGUGUUCAAGUCUCCCACUAUUGUAGUUCUCUAAUAACCUGUUUUAUAAAUCUGGGUGCUCCCUUAUUGGGUGCAUACAUACUUAGAACUGUUAAGUCUUCUUGUUGAAUUGAACCCUUUAUCAUUAUGUAAUGCCCUUUUUUUGUCCUUUUGAAUCAUUGUUGGUUUACAGUCUGUUUUUUCUGAAAUAGAAUAGCAACCUCUGCUUUAUUUUGUUUUCCAUUUGCUUGAUAGAGCUUUCUCCAUCCCUUUAUUCUGAGCCUAAAGGUGUCACUGCAUGUGAGAUGGGACUCUGGAAAACAGCAUAGAGUUGGGCCUUGCUCCUUCAUCCAAUUUGACACUCGGUGUCCUUUAAGUGGGGCAUUUAGCCCACAUAAAUUCAAGAUUAAUACUGAUAUAUAAGCAUUUGAUCUUGCCAUCAUGUUGUUACCUGGUUCUUAUGUAGACUUGAUAGUAUAGUUGCUUUAUAGUGUUAGCAGGCUAUGUACUUAAAGGUGUCCUUGUAGAAGUAGGUAACAGUCUUUCAUGCUUAUCAUUCCCUUAAGGACCUGUUGUAAGGCAGGACUGGUAGUAAUAAACUCUCAGCAUGAAAUUAUCUUUGUAUUCUCUCUGCAGAAAAUAUUAUGAAAUUAGGUUGUACAGUUAGUUAAUCAAUGAAUAUGCUGCUAAAAAUGUAAGAAAAAGUAAUCAGGAAUUUAAUUCAUAAGAGUGUUAUUUUUCAAGAUUUUU
rnacentral:lncRNA from 10 species